rnacentral:snRNA from 2 species
UUCUCUUCGGAGACAUCUGAUAAAAUUGGAAUGAUACAGAGAAGAAUAACAUGGCCCCUGCGCAAUGACUACACGCACAAAUCGAGAUAUGGUCCAGAUUUUG